CUGUGUGUUGUUGGGUAGGGGAGCGUUCUGUAAGCCUGCGAAGGUGUGCUGUGAGGCAUGCUGGAGGUAUCAGAAGUGCGAAUGCUGACAUAAGUAACGAUAAAGCGGGUGAAAAACCCGCUCGCCGGAAGACCAAGGGUUCCUGUCCAACGUUAAUCGGGGCAGGGUGAGUCGACCCCUAAGGCGAGGCCGAAAGGCGUAGUCGAUGGGAAACAGGUUAAUAUUCCUGUACUUGGUGUUACUGCGAAGGGGGGACGGAGAAGGCUAUGUUGGCCGGGCGACGGUUGUCCCGGUUUAAGCGUGUAGGCUGGUUUUCCAGGCAAAUCCGGAAAACCAAGGCUGAGGCGUGAUGACGAGGCACUACGGUGCUGAAGCGACAAAUGCCCUGCUUCCAGGAAAAGCCUCUAAGCAUCAGGUAACAUCAAAUCGUACCCCAAACCGACACAGGUGGUCAGGUAGAGAAUACCAAGGCGCUUGAGAGAACUCGGGUGAAGGAACUAGGCAAAAUGGUGCCGUAACUUCGGGAGAAGGCACGCUGAUAUGUAGGUGAAGCGACUUGCUCGUGGAGCUGAAAUCAGUCGAAGAUACCAGCUGGCUGCAACUGUUUAUUAAAAACACAGCACUGUGCAAACACGAAAGUGGACGUAUACGGUGUGACGCCUGCCCGGUGCCGGAAGGUUAAUUGAUGGGGUUAGCGGCAACGCGAAGCUCUUGAUCGAAGCCCCGGUAAACGGCGGCCGUAACUAUAACGGUCCUAAGGUAGCGAAAUUCCUUGUCGGGUAAGUUCCGACCUGCACGAAUGGCGUAAUGAUGGCCAGGCUGUCUCCACCCGAGACUCAGUGAAAUUGAACUCGCUGUGAAGAUGCAGUGUACCCGCGGCAAGACGGAAAGACCCCGUGAACCUUUACUAUAGCUUGACACUGAACAUUGAGCCUUGAUGUGUAGGAUAGGUGGGAGGCUUUGAAGUGUGGACGCCAGUCUGCAUGGAGCCGACCUUGAAAUACCACCCUUUAAUGUUUGAUGUUCUAACGUUGGCCCCUAAUCGGGGUUGCGGACAGUGUCUGGUGGGUAGUUUGACUGGGGCGGUCUCCUCCUAAAGAGUAACGGAGGAGCACGAAGGUUGGCUAAUCCUGGUCGGACAUCAGGAGGUUAGUGCAAUGGCAUAAGCCAGCUUGACUGCGAGCGUGACGGCGCGAGCAGGUGCGAAAGCAGGUCAUAGUGAUCCGGUGGUUCUGAAUGGAAGGGCCAUCGCUCAACGGAUAAAAGGUACUCCGGGGAUAACAGGCUGAUACCGCCCAAGAGUUCAUAUCGACGGCGGUGUUUGGCACCUCGAUGUCGGCUCAUCACAUCCUGGGGCUGAAGUAGGUCCCAAGGGUAUGGCUGUUCGCCAUUUAAAGUGGUACGCGAGCUGGGUUUAGAACGUCGUGAGACAGUUCGGUCCCUAUCUGCCGUGGGCGCUGGAGAACUGAGGGGGGCUGCUCCUAGUACGAGAGGACCGGAGUGGACGCAUCACUGGUGUUCGGGUUGUCAUGCCAAUGGCACUGC
rnacentral:rRNA from 1 species